CACGUAGUUAGCCGGGGCUUCUUAGUCAGGUACCGUCAUUUUCUUUCCUGCUGAUAGAGCUUUACGUACCGAAAUACUUCUUCACUCACGCGGCGUCGCUGGAUCAGGGUUUCCCCCAUUGUCCAAUAUUCCCCACUGCUGCCUCUCGUAGGAGUUUGGGCCGUGUCUCAGUCCCAAUGUGGCCGUCCACCCUCUCAGGCCGGCUACUGAUCGUCGCCUUGGUGGGCCGUUACCCCGCAACCAGCUAAUCAGACGCGGGCCCAUCCCAUACCACCGGAGUUUUCACACACCUUCAUGCGAAGCUGUGCGCUUAUGCGGUUUUAGCUACCUGUUUCCAGGUUGUUAUCCCCCGGUAUGGGGCAGGUUGCCCACGCGUUACUCACCCGUCCGCCACUACUUACACUUCCGUAGUCAAUGCAAGCAUCUCCUGCUUCUGUGUAAGUUCCGUUCGACUUGCAUGUGUUAGGCACGCCGCCAGCGUUCACGUCCUGACGUACCGAGGUACUACGAAACUC
rnacentral:rRNA from 1 species